rnacentral:rRNA from 1 species
UACGAAGGGGGCUAGCGUUGCUCGGAAUCACUGGGGGUAAAGGGAACGUGGGGGAAUGGCUAGGUCAGGGGGGAAAUCCUGGAGCUCAACUCCAGAACUGCCUUUGAUACUGGCGACCUUGAGUCCGGGAGAGGUGAGUGGAACUGCGAGUGUAGAGGUGAAAUUCGUAGAUAUUCGCAAGAACACCAGUGGCGAAGGCGGCUCACUGGCCCGGUACUGACGCUGAGGUGCGAAAGCGUGGGGAGCAAACAGG